rnacentral:tmRNA from 1 species
GGGGUUGACUGGAUUUGACAGCGGGCAGAAAUGGUAAGUAAGCAUGCAGUGCGUCGUUGAUUUGCACUUAAAUCUCAGUCUUCAAAAUUUUAUCUGGCGAAACUCGUUACGCUCUUGCUGCGUGAUCGAAUCAUAGUAGAUCACGCUUAAUCUCGGCACCAGGUGUUGAGACGAGACAUCACUCGAAAGCUGUUGCUCCGAAGCAUUUCGGCAAAGUGGUGCAGUAAAAUCGGAGAUAGUUGAGGGUAGCCUCGUACCCUUAAUGAAACUUUAGAGGAUAAGAUUGCGGUUGAUGGCUUUGGUUCUGCCGCAGUUCGAAAACCUAAGCAAAGAUAAGCAUGUAGAAAGCUUAUGAUUUCCUCGUUUGGACGAGGGUUCGAUUCC